rnacentral:lncRNA from 1 species
CAGUGUCUCUCCCAAGUCAUCUGACACCCACUCUGUUCUCUGGAUCAUUCCUUCCUAGAGAACGUUGCUCUUGGAGGGCUGUGAUCUGCUCUCACCCACUUGCCUUUCUGACCCACUGAGUGCAUCUCAACAGUCACUUGGGGUGAUCCGAUCUGACCAGGAAGGGUUGGGUGGCUCGUGGAGCUUGGGAAGCACUCUCACUGUGGCGGUCCCCAUUGGUGGUCAUGGGGUUGCCACAGUGAGCUACGUUUCUACCCUCAUCUCUCUAUAUGUUACCGUGGAAUCUCUGACUGAGGACCCAUGGGCUCACCCAAUGUGAUAAAGUCCUGAAGCUCAGCCGGGACGUCCGACCCCAGCUGCAGGACUUUCCAAUAGACAGAUGCAUAGAACUUGAGAAGAAAUCGACUUAGAAACCUGAAGUUGGAAAACUGGUUGCCUGACAUUCUGUGCAAGACUGAAUCUCUGAGAAAUGAAGGCUGUGUAACUUUGGGACCAUGUCUUUUCCAGCCUACAUAGACCCCCAGGAAACUUUGCAGUUGUUCCCCAAGUAUGGAUGGAGUCAAACUUGAUGUCCUUUCAUCCCCCCAUCCCAUCCACUAAUCCAUAUCCUUUGGAAAUUUUAGAGUGCCGGGCCUCAUGUAAAUACACCAAAAACAAUUUAAGUCAUUUAUGUUCUACUAAGCCAAGAGUUCUUUAGCGGUGGAAGAAGAUGGGGUCUUACACGAAUGGAAGGGUCUUGGCUAUUUGCGUCGGUAUCAACAGAAGGACUAGACGCUUGCACUAAAAGAAAAAGCUGAGGGAUGGGGGCAGGAAGCGGGAAGCUGGGACCCAAGCCCCACCUUCCUGAGUUGGAAGGUGACAGGUAGACUCCUGCUUGUUUGCCAGAGAGGCCUGGCAGAGGAGGUGCAUCCCAGCACAGAAGGGCAGCACAGAGGCAGCCUGAGAAGAUUCUGUCGCUGCCAGGUCACCAGGACCUCUGGACCACAGCUGGGUUGCGCUGUUUUCCAGUUUGUGAAACUAGGACUUUGGGGAACAUCCUGUGAAUUGGUGUCAUUUUGAUUUUCCUGGAGGAUUUUUGAGGUCAGCGUGACUGCUGUCACUAACUAAAAUAAAAUCCGAAGUCCCCAAGUGACUGAACAGACCCCCUCUUGGCCAAGGGGACCCCAGAGAAACCUGAAAGCUGAGCUCCCAGCCAUGAGGGGACGGGCGAUCGGACACGCUUCAUCACAGUCCCUCCCCUUUGUGGUUUAAACGACGAUGAUCGGCUGUCAUGCUAAAAUAGAGACACGAGACCGACAGCACAGACUCCUUAUGGCAAUAAGACACCAAAUUAUAAGCAGCACCUCAGGCCACGCCAGGUAAGGGUCGAGCCGCGCACUCUACACUUAGAGAACGGACUCUGCUCUCACACCACAGCGUCUUCUUUUUCUUCAGCAGCUAAACACGCACCGGCCCCGAGAUUCAAACGACUGCAGCUCAUCCACCUGCAGACGCUGGCUGACCCCGUUCCACAGCUGUGACUAUAGCUUUGAUUGGACAAGAGGUUGAUUUCAGUCUCCUGGUAAGAGACCACCAACCAUAGACCUGGUUCAGGCUGAUUAUAGAAGCUGCACACUUGUAUGCCUUCGAGUCCCUGCCUCACCUUUUGACGUGUAGGGACUCAUUGUAAUGCUUUUAAAUGUGAAGCCUCCACCCCAAAGUGAACAUGGGACGCAUGUAACGUGCAUGUUCAGUGGGCACGGCUCAGGACUCUCUUUGUGAAUAUUCAUAGCUCCUCCUGGAACCUGAAUAUGUAUGUUUGGCCAGCUCAAUUCAGCAUGAGGCUCCUGCUGCAACACCGCCUCCUUCCAGGUGCCUGCCAGCUGUUUCUGCCAGAGGCUGCGUCUCCCGGCCUGUCAGAAUGGCCACCCUGCAGGCUGUAAUCCUUUAGAAGAAAUAAAGAUCCCCUUUCCA